UUAAAACAGAUCACUUCAAACCACAACUACAGUACAGUCAACAGAAAAGUUACCCAUAGCUGCAGAGAAUAAAACGGUACACAUGGUUAAGUGGAAACUGCUAGUGCAGAAUUUAAUGGAAUGUUUUUUAGGUGAGUAAUUCUAUGAAUGUAGAAUAGAACUGAGUCAGUAAGUCCAUUUACAAUAACACAUUGCUUUCACUUUCUAAUUCCAAGAAACCAUGUGGUCCAGUGGAAGGAGUGAGGUGGUGAAGUGCUGGAGAGCCGGAUACUGUGAAAGACUAGAGCAAAAAAGUGCAUGUUUAGAAUGUGAUAUAGCCUCAUGCUGCUGUACACAGCUUGCACUGUAGAGAAAUAUAUUUUAUCUUCAUGGUUUGCACACUGGUUGUAGUUUUCCUAUCCUGAAUGUAUCUAUCUAGACUAAUAAACCCAUUUGUCUGUUCAUUCACUUCCUUUAGAUCCAUGAUUGAACGCAAAGUUUAAAAUCAGUGGCACAUAAUAUGAAGUACUACACAGUUGAGACUGGCAAUACUUUGGAUUCUCAUAUUCAGUUUAUGAGACGACUCAACAACACCACAAGAUGUUUUACGGAAGUCGAGUCGCCAGAGGAGAGUGAUGUCAUCAUGGCUUUCUGUCCCAUC